GCAUCAACAACACCCAUCCAUGAGGAUUUUGAGCUAUUUUCAUUUUUACGUUUCCAUAUACACAUGGAGGCUUCCAUUUUAUCCGCAAUAUCAAGUGCUUCAUGUUCCGAUUUUAUAUCUAGGUAUUUAAGUACUUCGACAUCCAAGAAGUCCGAUUGGGACGCCGUCGACAUGUACCUAUGAACUGCUUCUCCUACAAGCUGCUUUCCACACUGGAGGGUGAUAAAAAAACCAAUAAAUGAAAUACAACUAAUAAAGGAAACUAUUCCUAUAAGAUAGCAUGUUGGAGAUAGUUUAUGAAUUAUGUCUCAUCCUACCGUUGGAAUCUAAUUUAUUAGUUUCCCGAUUAUUUUAUUAUUCAAAAUAAGGUUCCCAUCUUAAAAACUCACAUAGAGUGAGAUUCAAAUAUCUCAUAUUCUCAUCUGAAUCUCGUCCAAUUAAUAUUAUAUAUUCAUUGCUUUGAGAUUUGAGAAUUAAUGAUCUCAUCGAAUCUCAAUUAUAAUUAUCCUAUUUGAAUCUAUCUUUAAAUGCGAUGUACCUUGGGUAAUGUCGCAAUGUAGGCUUCUGGAAUCUCAAUUUCUGCAAGAACUUCAUUGUUGAUAGCUUUGACAGCUUUGUGGAUCUGAUUUGCAGACUCACGUCUUUUGAUCAAAAUUCUUCGACAAUUUUCAGACAGACCGAAACGAGAAAGACAAGGCAUGGGAAGCCACCAUUUAUCUUCAUAUCUUUUCUUAAAUGACCCCAAUGGAGGGCUUCUCAUGUCUGAUUCCAAAUUGCUUUUAUCUUUAUACUCAAAUUCGUUCUCAUUAAAUCCAUCCAAUAUCUCCUGCGUACAUUGAUGAUAUUUAAUGAUAUAAUUAACAUUGGUUGGAAGAAAAUCGAUCCAAUGAAUGAAUGAACUUACAAGAAGCAAGGCAUCUAACUUUUUGAGUCCAGGAAUAUUGUUUGCAAUGUCUAAUCUCGGCUGAAAACAGAUGAUAUUUAAGAUAGAAUCAGAUUUUAAUUUUUAAAAAUUUCACUUCCAACAUAAAUCUUAGAUCCUUGUAUAGAUAUACACCUUGCCAUAUUGAUCGACCAUGUAGUCGCAUGAAGAUAAGAGCCAAUCUUUCUCUCUUUUCCAUAACAUUGCCUGUUCUUGUGAUAUCGGCUCUAAUUUCUUGAACUGCCCAAACACAGUGGCUUGACAUGCAAACAUACAAUAAACAUCAGUAAGUACACGAUAAUUAUAUAUAUGAGAUAUAACAUUUUAUCCGUCCAUGUCUUAUCUAUUCCUAAUCUCGGUCUCAAGAUUUGAGAAAAUGUAUUUUUUCUAUCUCGAGACAGAAUUAAUUGUUGAGAUAUUAUAUCUUAUGAUAUCUCAUUCAUAACUAUAUCACCUGAUCUACCUCGUGAAAAAUAAGUUUGAGUUAAUUUAUGAUCAAUUGAUUCGGCAUUCACCAUAGAGAUUUGUCAUGGAAUUUGAAAUUGCUUGUGCCGUGCAAACAUGUCCUUUACCAUUCCCUGUCCCGGACAUGUCUUCUCCUAAUAACAGCUUCGACAGUUUCUCCUUCAUCAUUUGAAGCUCUGAAGAUUUGAUCAUUUGAUCAUAUAUAUAUAUAUAGAAACAGAAACUCAGAGAAAAAGAGAGGGAGGAUUAUUUCUCACCUAAUGCUUCCUCCUCCUCUUGUGUCAAUCCACAUUCUUGGACCUUAUCAGACAUUAUUAAUUAAAGACUAUAUUUUCUGCAGAAACUUUUAAGAUUAUAAUGAUUGAGUUUUUCAUAAAUAUAUUUGAUGAGAAUUGAAAUAAUGAGUUACCUUAGAUUUUAUGUUAUUUCUUCCAAUAUCCAGAAGAAGAUAUGAUCAUGAAGUUGUUCAAUUUUCUUCAAUUUCUCCAGUCUUGAAAGUUUGAACUCUGGAUUGGUUUUUAAUUAAAUAUUUUUGUGUUUUUUAUGGGAACAUGGUGAGAUGUCUUGACUUUUUAACAUAAAUAAAAUAAGCUAUAUUAAUUUCAAACAUGAUGAGCAGUUUCAACCUUCAGAAAUCAUGAGGACAUGCAUAUUUUAAUGUAUAUGUAAUUAUGUACAUUAUCAAAUUAAAAAAAAACUUAUCAAGUACAAUUUAGUGAAUUUACCCUAAUUAAUUCAUAAGAAAGUAAAAUUUAUAUUCAAUAUCGGAUUUUUUUUACCCCCUUGAAGCCUAGCUCUCUUAAAAUGAGGUAAUCUCCCAAAAUUCCUUUACUGAUAUUGUCUUGGCAAGGUUACUUGUCAGACCUGAUACUGCUUCCCUCUAUUCUGAAGUUUUUCAAUUACCUGGAAGAUCUCUAGAAGAGAAGUUCUUGUUGCAUGCUAAAUGGCUUUUAGCUGGAAAUUGUUAAAAUGGUGAUAGGUAUGAACUGUUAAGAAUGUAUGAGAGUGACCGGAGAAGAUUCCGGCAGAGUUGGGUUGCCGGAAUGUCAAAGAAGCAAAAGAGGGGAAAAUCUUAGGGUUAGUCGUAUUAACUAACCUAAACCGGUAGUUGGCACAGUGAAAGUCAAAUAACAGAAUAUAUUUUCUUAUUGAAUUAAGUUUGAUUACAUUUGGUAUUUAAGCACAACAAUUACAAUAACAAAAUCGUUAAUCAAACUAAUUAACUAAACUUUAUUUAUUCUGUUACUGGACCCAUUCUUCAUUUAUCCCAAACAUGCUUGCUGUGGACUCCUUUCAUCAAUUAGCCCAACACGUUUUAUUAAUGGGAAGAUUGCAGCUUGGUCCCCGAGGCUCUUCAUAUCUAAUUCAUCCUCUCAGGGUCUAAUUAUUUCUAUAUUACAUAUAAGUCCAGAUUAUAGACAAAUAGAUUUACAUUUAAUUACUUCUUUACCCCCCCUUCAAGUUUUGAAAUAUAUAUUUGUCAGACGCUGAAGUAAUUUCAUGUUCACCCAAGUGUUUGGUAAACAUGUCUGCCAAUUGGUAUUUUGUUUCAAUUUGCCUAAGACUAAUUACUCCUUGGGUAUUUGAUCUUUUAUGAAAUGACAAUCUAUUUCUACAUGCUUUGUUCUUUCAUGAAAGACAAGGUUAUUAGCUAGAUGGAUUGCCGAUUUAUUAUCACAAUAGCGUGUUAUUUGAGUUUGGAUUUUGAUUUCUUUAAGUAAUUGGUGAAUCCAUAUCCACAGGCUGUAUGAGCUAUCGUUCUACUUCUGACGAGGGUUAGCUUCAAACAUCUCUUCAAACACUCUUGUUUUAAUAUUUGUAAUUGGGUGAUACGACCACCAUAAUUACAUCCUAGACCUUGAGGUAUUAAGGAAGUAAAUAAAUAACAUUAUUAAGUAGUUAACUCCGAUUAACUGAAGAUAGUAUUAUAUAUUAGAUAGAUACUAAUUAUAGUUGCAUGGGUAUGCAUGCACGGCAGUUAUUAUAUAUUAUAUUAUAUAUUAGAUAGAUAUUAAUUACAGUUGCAUGGGUAUGCAUGCACGCCCGUUACCCCGACGUGGGUUGAACGUGGGGGAUCAAUCCCAUGAACAAGAAGUUUAAGCAAUUUCUUUAUCUUGUUGUUUUACAUUUAUGUCUUUUAGUAUAGUUUCUUAUUCGAUAGGGUUUCGAUCCUAUCAGCUUGUAUUUGAUUUUAUACACCCACUUUGAACCCACUUCCUUCCAUUGGGAAGUUCGUGAUGGUCCAAGUUUUAUUUGAGAUGAGUGCAUCCAUCUCUUUUUUCAUUGCAUCAACCCAUCUUGGGUUACUUGAUGCUUCACUGAAUGUGUUGGGUUCAAUGUGAAUUGUAAUUUGUUUUUAGGAAUUCUUUGUGUUUCCUGUUUGUCCUAUGAUAGGACUCAUGGGGUAUUUAACAUGAUUUUCAUCAUUAUUCCAUGUAGAAAUCUUGAUAUUGGCUUGGUUUUCUUAUUAUUCUCCCUAACCUUGUUUGUUUUGGUUUUACAGCAGAAGCUGCCUUUUCUAAUGUAUUUUGAUUUUGAUCAUAAUUUUCUGAUGUAUUUUGAUUAUGAUUUUCUAAUAUAAUUUGAUUUUGAACAUAACUUUCUUCAUGCUCCUCAUUGUGUUCUGAAAUGACUUUAUUUUGUGAUUCCUGAUUACAACUUUUAGUUUCAGUAUUUUCUUCAAAUAUUUGCUGUUUUGGAUCACAGACUAAGUCAUUUUCUGUUUCGUCUAUGGUAUUAUGGUCAGACUGGGUAUUACCAGUUAUAUCUGACUCAUGUUGUAUGUUCAAGAUGAUUUUAGGAUCAGCCUGGUUAUUUGACUUAUUUCCAAUCAUAUCUGAACCAUUUUUCAUCAUUCUCUGAUUUUUGAUACUCAUUUUAUGUUUUUGAGUAUUAUUUGAAUUUUUUAGAGUUGUUAUGAACUCAUGAGAGUGAGCCUCAAUUAUUUCAUGGAAUGUUUCUUGUAAUGGAAAAACAUUCAUCAUUUUGUUUUGUUGUAUUUUGGGGUUUAUUUCAUGAAAAGAAAAAAUAUCCUCCCUGAAGACCACAUCUCUACUUAUGUGAAAUUUAAUUGCUUCAAAAAAAAAAAAAAAAAAUUUGGUCUUCUAUACCAAGUAUUAAAUACCCUUUUAUGUUUGGAGGAUAUCCCAUGAACAUUCCUUUAAAAGUUCUUGGUGAGAACUUAUGAUCUUUGUUAUGUAUUGUUGUAUAACAUAAACACUCAAAGGUUUUUAAAAUAUGAUAUUUGGGUUUUUGUUUGUGUAAGACUUCAUAAGGAGUUUUGUUGUCUAGGACCUUGGAUGGGAUCCUAUUAAUUAAAAAUGUUGCAGCUAAUAUACACUCUCCCUAGUUUUUAGAGGUAUAUUAGUAGCUUGUAUAUGUAAUAACCUAGCUAUAUUAAGCAAGCAUCUAUGUUUUUUCUUAACUCUUGCAUUUUGUUAAGGAUUAUAUGGGCAUGUGAGUUGGUGUGUAAUUCCAUAAUUUUCUAGUAAAUCUUUGAACUUCAUAGAAUUAAACUCUCCACCAUUGUCACUCAUAGUUUUUAUAUUCUUGCAAAAGAAAUUCUUAACAUUUGUUAUGAACCUUCUUAUGCAUUCAUAGACCAUGGAUUUAUUUUUAAUUAAGUAAACCCAUGUUGUUCUACUUAAAUCCUCAACUAUAGUGAGAAAGUACUCAUAUCCAUCAUGACUAAUUAUUGAAAAUUUGCCCCAAAUGUCCUUUUCUUUUCUUUUUUUUGAAGCAAUUAAAUUUUUUAUUUAAAAAUAAGGGCAAUGCCAAAUUUACAAAGAAAAAGAGUAAAGAGAUAAAAUAGAAAUACAAGAAAUGAACAAAAGUCCAUUGACACUCUCCCAUUAGCUAUGUAGUCUAGUUAUACAAUAACUAGAUAUGCUGCCUCAGGAGGUUGGUCUCCCAUACUUCCAUCAUAGAUGUCUCCAAAGGGUGAAAAUAACUCUUCUUGCAAUACACUGAAUUAAAUGAGAGAUUGAUGUCUUUAAUGACCUCCUUAAGGACUACCUCAGGAGGCCUACUCACGUGCUGUCUAUACCUUUUGUUUCUUUCCGUCCAUAUAUGCCACGACAAGCACCCAAUAGCAUUCCAUAUUAGCCCCCAAGGGGGAGAGUGACGCGUAAUCUUUUGUGCUGCCUCCGUCAGAUCCCCCAAUCUAAUAUCUGGACUGGAUUGGGUGGGAACUGGAAUAUUCAUUAUUUUCCAGAAAGCGAAAUCCAGGUGUUCCGCCAACGGAAUUAAGAGAGAUCUGAAAUAAGAACAGUUAAAGAAAAGAUGACUCCUAGUUUCAUCUUUCAGAUUACAUAGCAAGCAAGCAGGAGGUACUUGUACUCUCCAACUUUUUAACUUCCUGAACGUGUUUAGGUGAUCCCAUUUCACCCUCCACAAGAGAAUAAAGAAUUUUGUCAGCAUCUUCGGCCAAAUUCCCUCAGAUAACAUGUCUUUAUGCUUUCUAUCUCUAAUACUUUCCACUAUUCCCCCCAACUUGCUUAUCGGAGUAUCAGAUCUCCACACAAUCAUACUAUUGGCCCUACAAUCCAAACAUUUAUCCACUAGGUUUCUUUCUGAGAUAAAAGCUUUCCAGAAAUACGAAUUCACAGUAGGCUUGAUUUGUAUAUCAUUAAGCGCUUUUCCUUUAAUAUACCUAUCUUGGAUCCAUUUUACCAAAAUAGAAUCACUCUUAUCCCAAUACUUUGAAGCUUUUUUAAUAUUGGUUGCAGUGGUGAUAAUAGGUAGGUCUCUAACCCCUAGACCCCCUUCCGCCUUGGGAAAGACCAUUUGGGCCCACGGGAUCCCUUUCCUUCCGUCCCAUAUAAAUCUAUAGGCUAACCUUCUCACCUUCUUAGCCACAGAAUCAGGGAUAGCCAUACCUAACGCCCAAUAAGUAUACUUUCUAGCUAUUAUCCAGUUAACUAGUUGUAUUCUCCCUCCAUAGGAAAGACAUGUCCCACUCCAUCUUGCCAAGAGCGCCUCUAUAGACUGGAUUAGUUUCCAACACUGUCCAAAUGACUUUUUCUUUCCCAUCCUAGAUACGUUAUAGGUAAAUUUUUAACAGUAUAUCCUAAGAUAUUAUGCAAAGAUUGAUCUUCUGCACAUACUUUUGAGAAGGUGGAGGAGCUCUUGCUCGCAUUCACUUCUAAUCCCGAGAACAGCGAGAAUUUCUCAAGCACCGCCUUAAUUGCAUUAAGCGAUUUCGGGUUUGCCUUUGAGAAGAUGAGAAUAUCAUCCGCAUACAUGAGGUGAGAUAUAGAAGUAGCACCAUUCACUUGAUAAGUAUCUAUUCUUUUGUUCUUUACUCCACUAUGUAUCAAUCUACUUAGAACAUCCAUAACUAUGUCAAAUAGAAUAGGAGAUAGAGGAUCACCCUGUCUAAUCCCCUUCUGGCUUUUGAAGGGAGGUGUUGGAGUCCCUUCCACCAGUACCGAGAAUGACGCAGAGGAUAUGCAAUUCCAAAUCAUUUUGCAGAACAUAGGAGAAAACCCAUACGCUUCAAGGGUAACAAUUAUAGCCUCCCAACUGACUGUGUCAAAAGCUUUUUAAGAUCUAUACUCAAGCAACACCUCUUAGGAGUUCUCUUUCUCCCAAAGCCAUGAACCAUCUCAUCCGCUAGAAUGGUAUUAUCCGAGAUGAGCCUCCCUUGAAUAAAAGCUACUUGAUUUGGAGAGAUGAGUUCACUAGAGACCUUACUGAUCCUAUCUGCUAAUAUUUUUGUCAUUAGCUUGUAGAUAAAAUUGACAAAUGAUAUCGACCUGAUAUCAGACAUAUCUGAGGCCGUGUUUGUUUUGGACACAAGCGUGAUGAAAGCAUGGUUAGCAGACUUCAACAAAGGUUUGCCUUUGAAGAAUUGCCUUACACACUCCAUUACUAGGUCUUUAAGAUCUCCCCAAAUUUUUUUAAUAAAUAUUUACUUUUUGUAUAUUUAAGUUUAGUUUGUUUGGAAAGAGGCAAAUUUCACAAUUUUUAUCUGAAAAAAUUUUAUUUGAUAGAUUUUUAUUACAAAAACUUGUAUCAGUAGUUUUUACAGCAUUUUAUCAAAAAAAACAAUUUAUUUCUUUGUUCUUGAUCAGCACAACAAGCUUUUGAAAAGAAAUGUGUUCAAGCCUGUUGUGCCUAACUUUAGAAUCCAGGGAGGUAUUUGCAAAUCCAGAGAUGAGGUUUGAGCUAUAUAAGAUUAUAAGUAGAGCUCAUCUUGGCAUCUACUCUUCCCAAUAACUUUCCCUGAUUUGCUUCCCUGAAAAUAACAUUUUUUACUAUCAAAUAAUAUUUCUAGAUCAAUAUUUGAAGUUAAUUUAUUCACUGAAAUUAAAUUAACUUCGAAUGGAGGAAUAUAGAGUACUUCUCUUAAGAUAGAGUUAUUGUUCGUGUUGACACAAAUUCGGUCGUGUCGUGUUCGUGUUGACACGAAUUCGGUCGUGUCGUGUUCGUGUCAAUGAAAAAAUUAAUCGUGUCAGUCGUGUCGUGUUACACGAAUUGCCAGGCCUAAAUAAGCUCAUCUUUAAUUUAAUAAAUCAGACCUAUAAGAGGAGACUUAUUUGUUUCAAACUUUUUUUAUCAAUUUAAUGGCUAUUAGCAACCCUAGCCAGUGCUCUCUCCAGAUUCUCAUUUUUAUUGUGUUGCUGGGUGGCUGAUCGGUUACAACUGGUGCUUUCAACAAGUUCUCAUUCUCUUGUUGACAGGCGAAGAAUAGCGAGAGGAUCUUGGCGGGAACGACGUUAAAUAAUUCAACAAACUCUUCAAGGGAUGUUCUAACCCUUGAUUAGAUCCCAAACAGGAAAGUAUUACUACUCUAAGAAGUUUUGCUAGUUUAGAUCUGUGUUAUUGACUUAUUUCAAGGUUGUUUCCAUAUUAAGUUGUGUGCAGCUAAGGCUCACUGAUUGAUGUCAAUCCGUCCAUGUUAUAAAAUUUUAUUCAUACUGAGUUUGCAAAUCAUUCUAAAUUUGAAGAGUUUAAAAGAUAAUUUUUGAGAUCUGGAACUAGAGUUAUUUCGUGAAAAAUAUAUUGAACAAUAUUUUACGAUAAUUUUCAAUGUAAUUUAGAUAAACUCACCGACACAAGCCUCGUGGAUUUUAUUUUCCAUUAAUCUCUGCUCGAUUUCCUUCAUCUCUUCAGCCACAACUUUCUUCAUCUCCAUAUCAAACUCUGAGUAUAACAAACUAACACAUGUUAAUUUAAUCUAGUCAUAUAAUGAUAAUUAAAACUUAUUAAUUCGAUCGGAUAUAAAUUAAAGAUUAGAUGUUGGAUGGUUCAGAGUUCGUUUCGUUGUAUAUUUUUAUUAAUUUUCACUACGAUUUAACCAAUGACAUAUUAUGUGAUUCUGUUAUAUCAAUGAGAAUUAAACUUUUAAUUCUGCAUACUGUAGAAAUGAAUCAUUCGUUAUAAAAAAGAAUAUUAGAGUUUGGAAAUAAAUCUACCAUUUUUUACACAUUCAUCUAUGUAAAGCACGUCUUCGAUCCUUGCAGCAAUAUUGAACGCCAAACUCUCCAACACUCUGGAGUAACUUUCCAAGAUCGCAUGCCCGACAUCCUUGAAGAUUGAAGAAGAAACCCAAAAAAUAUCAAUGAGAAGUUAACCCAAAAAAAAAUCAAUCAAUCACCUUGUUGUUCUCAAUCUUGAAACAAUCCAAAAUCGUCUGUGACAGUGUUGAGUAUCUUCCCUUCAAUGCCGAAAGGACGCUUUUAGCUCUAAUAGCAAGAUUUUCAUUCUUGGCAUCAACAACACCCAUCCAUGAGGAUUUUGAGCUAUUUUCAUUUUUACGUUUCCAUAUACACAUGGAGGCUUCCAUUUUAUCCGCAAUAUAAAGUGCUUCAUGUUCCGAUUUUAUAUCUAGGUAUUUAAGUACUUCGACAUCCAAGAAGUCCGAUUGGGACGCCGUCGACAUGUACCUAUGAACUGCUUCUCCUACAAGCUGCUU
rnacentral:lncRNA from 1 species